CACUGGACCAGCUCCCCCAGAGGACCGCCUUCCUCCACCAUGCCCUCAAAAUGCUGGCCGACGCUUCCAGCCAGAGCACCGGGAUACAGCAGCACCUGAAGGCAAGGGAGAUUCAGGUCCGUAGACCAGCCUGAAUCCACCUUUCAGACAUUCGCUCCACUCUGGACCGGAUGAAUCUCAUUGCAGGACCACUGGUGUUGCGGAUGGACUCAUACAAGUGACUCAGGCUUGUACGGAUCUCAGCCUGUACACAAUGCUGAGGCGUCUCGUGCCACGGGAGAGCGGAGUGGUUCCGUCUAGGAUGUGGGGGACAGAAGCCUUCUACUUGACUGAGCUUCUCACCUGCACCUUCUCUGCACACGCCGGAUACGCAGCAUCCGCCGGCACGUCGCACUCCUCAGCGGGUCCUAGAUUUGGAGGAGGAGGCGGCGGCUGUAACCGUGAUAUACAGGCUCCGAACGGAAGCAGAC